AUUGAACGCUGGCGGAAUGCUUUACACAUGCAAGUCGAACGGUAGAGGGGGCAACCCCUCGAGAGUGGCGAACGGGUGAGUAAUAUAUCGGAACGUGCCCAGUCGUGGGGGAUAACGUAGCGAAAGUUACGCUAAUACCGCAUACGAUCUAAGGAUGAAAGCGGGGGAUCGCAAGACCUCGCGCGAUUGGAGCGGCCGAUAUCAGAUUAGGUAGUUGGUGGGGUAAAGGCUCACCAAGCCAACGAUCUGUAGCUGGUCUGAGAGGAAGACCAGCAAAACUGGAACUGAGACACGGUUCAGACUCCUACGGGAGGCAGCAGUGGGGAAUUUUGGACAAUGGACGCAAGUCUGAUCCAGCCAUUCCGCGUGCAGGAUGAAGGCCCUCGGGUUGUAAACUACUUUUGUACGGACCGAAAAGGUCUCUCUUAAUACGGGGGGCUCAUGACGGUACCGUAAGAAUAAGCACCGGCUAACUACGUGCCAGCAGCCGCCGUAA
rnacentral:rRNA from 1 species